rnacentral:rRNA from 1 species
CCGUUGCCGGCGACCGGCGCACGGGUGAGUAACACGUAUGCAACCUGCCCGUGGCAGGGGGAUAAGCGGGGGAAACCCCGUCUAAUACCGCGUAACGCGGCCUUGGGGCAUCCCAAGGCCGCCAAAGGGAGCAAUCCCGACCACGGAUGGGCAUGCGGCGCAUUAGCUAGUCGGCGGGGUAACGGCCCACCGAGGCGACGAUGCGUAGGGGUUCUGAGAGGAAGGCCCCCCACACUGGUACUGAGACACGGACCAGACUCCUACGGGAGGCAGCAG